rnacentral:rRNA from 1 species
UACGAGGGGGGCAAGCGUUGUUCGGAAUUAUUGGGCGUAAAGGGCGCGUAGGCGGUGCGGUAAGUCACCUGUGAAAACUCUGGGCUCAACUCAGAGCCUGCAGGCGAAACUGCCGUGCUUGAGUGUGGGAGAGGUGCGUGGAAUUCCCGGUGUAGCGGUGAAAUGCGUAGAGAUCGGGAGGAACACCGGUGGCGAAGGCGGGUCUCUGGGCAAUUCCUGACGCUGAGGCGCGAAAGCGUGGGGAGCAAACGGG